rnacentral:rRNA from 1 species
GACGAACGCUGGCGGCGUGCUUAACACAUGCAAGUCGAACGAUGAUCUCCAGCUUGCUGGGGGGAUUAGUGGCGAACGGGUGAGUAACACGUGAGUAACCUGCCCUGGACUCUGGGAUAA